GAGGAAGGCAGCUGAAACUUCCUUGCCGCCAUGCGUGUGAUUCCAGCGACGGUAGCCGCUGAUUCUGGUGGCAAUCUGCUCCUCUUGGCGAGAGCUUCCUUUUGGCGGCAGCGGCUACGUGAAUGGUGGCCGGAGAUGGAAGUUCGCGGUGGAGAGAGAAAGUAGGUGGCAGCCGCGUUUUCAGGCUUUUCCGGCGAGCUCCGGCGGAUGAUGGAUGAUCGGAGGACAUAUCCCGACUCUCCUCAGCUCAAGCUUCACAGUGGCACCGGUUUCGUGGCGACCGGACUUCGUUUGCAAAUCAACGGUCGAGAUCGUCCGCAAAGCUCUCCGGAUGAUUGGGGUCGGAUCAGAAAAUUGGAAGCAGGGAUCAUCAUCAGUGCGUCGUUUUGAGUUCAUUGGUGUGUUCGGAUCGUCGAUCGGACUCUGGCGGCUGGGGGAGAGUCGACCGAGCGAUCAAGCAUCUCGAUGAUCUGUCAGUUCGGCUCGCUCCACCUGAAGCACCAGAGCAGAGCUAAGAGGUCGCCAAAGCUAUCCGUGACUGUUAGUCUUCCCGUGACCCUUAUCUAGUAUCCCGACUCCUUCAUCAUCGGGUGGUGUAUUUGAUUUGGUAUGUUAAUUUGUAAAAUCUUAGAUUCUCCACAGUUGAAAUAGUAAAUGUAUCAGUUGUAAUGCUUUGUAGUUUUGAGUCUAGCCUAAUUCUUCUAGCAGACCGAAUUAAUUGUGUAUAUUUAAUGGUUGCGAAAUUGUGGAAUCGAUAAUAUUAAAUAAGAUGAGAUUUAUUUAA